GAUGAACGCUGGCGGCGUGCCUAAUACAUGCAAGUCGAGCGAACAGACGAGGAGCUUGCUCCUCUGACGUUAGCGGCGGACGGGUGAGUAACACGUGGAUAACCUACCUAUAAGACUGGGAUAACUUCGGGAAACCGGAGCUAAUACCGGAUAUUAUAUUGAACCGCAUGGUUCAAUAGUGAAAGACGGUUUUGCUGUCACUUAUAGAUGGAUCUGCGCCGCAUUAGCUAGUUGGUAAGGUAACGGCUUACCAAGGCAACGAUGCGUAGCCGACCUGAGAGGGUGAUCGGCCACACUGGAACUGAGACACGGUCCAGACUCCUACGGGAGGCAGCAGUAGGGAAUCUUCCGCAAUGGGCGAAAGCUUGACGGAGCAACGCCGCGUGAGUGAUGAAGGUCUUCGGAUCGUAAAACUCUGUUAUUAGGGAAGAACAAAUGUGUAAGUAACUAUGCACGUCUUGACGGUACCUAAUCAGAAAGCCACGGCUAACUACGUG
rnacentral:rRNA from 1 species